UACGUAGGGUGCAAGCGUUGUCCGGAAUUAUUGGGCGUACAGAGCGUUUAGGCGGCUUGAUUCGUCUGCUGUGAAAGUCCAGGGCUCAACCCUGGAAUGCCGGUGGAUACUGUCAAGCUAGAGUCCGGAAGGGGCGAGUGGAAUUCCUGGUGUAGCGGUGAAAUGCGCAGAUAUCAGGAGGAACACCAAUGGCGAAGGCAGCUCGCUGGGACGUGACUGACGCUGAGAAGCGAAAGCGGGGGGAGAAAACAGG
rnacentral:rRNA from 1 species